rnacentral:sRNA from 1 species
UUUGUUAUAAAUCUCACAGCUCUAUUUUGUGUCUGUUCCAGUAUCUUAAUGUCUCAAACAGAGGAUGCACGUUCUAUCAUUGGAUUUAGUUUAACUUCUGCUUGGUGUGACCACUGGUAGCUGAUGAAGAUUGGGGGAGGGGAGGGAUACACAAACUCUUCAUCUUCAACAACUGCUUCUGAAAAUGGAGGAGGCUGGAAUGCAAGAAAUAUCUGCAACACUGGACUGACAAUGUCAACAUGUUCCUGUUAAGAAGAAAGGAGCAAAAUAGAAAAGCAAGCUAUAGAAUCGCAACAUGUUAAAGAAAGUUCAUAAAAUAUGUUUACAUAUUUCAAAUGUUUCAUUUAUAAUGGAAUCUGCUUAUUUAUGCCAAAA